GGCUGCUGCAGCCAAUGAUGCGAUUCACAUACGUAUUUACCAUAGACUGUAUAUAAUGGUAUUUACGCAGCUAAUCAACGUCAGGCGUCCUGAUGUGCAGCCAUCGUUGUUCUCAUAGAUAUGAAUGAGUAGAUAGGACACGCCCCUUUGAGCUGCGUGCUACAGCGAGGCUAAGCUAGUGGGGGCAAAGUUUCAGUGCAUUCCGUUGAUGUAGACGGCGUGAAAACGUAAACAACAAGUAUGCCGUCUCACUGUGCUGCAUACAGUUACACACUACGUCGUACGAUUGAGACAAGGAAACUUGGAAUGACUUUUCAUAGGUUUCCCAGAGACUAUGGGUUGAGGAGGAAUUGGAAGUUUGUCGGCUUAGACCUGGUGUCAUUCCAUCAGUGUUAAACUUCCCGGCUCAUCUUGGAAGAGUACGUGCCAGAAAGACCACAACCAAGCAGCCUUGAGAUCUUAGACAGCGUCUCCCUGAGGUCCCUCUCUAUCUCCCCACACAUCCACCAACCACUGGAACACAUCUCCAAAGUUCUGCAGGUCCAGCUCAGCUUCCCCUCAGAAGAAGUGCUGCCACCUGCCAGAUGAAGGAGCCUUUUGAGAGGCAGCUGGCAUCGUGAUUGGACUGUACUUUGGUCUGUUCCAAUCCAGCUUCAGCUCCAGAGACGGCAGGCGGGACGAGUCAACGGAGGCUGGAUGGACGAAGGUAUGCAGCUGAGUACAAUCCAGAAAACAACAGAGGAGGAGUGCAGCAGCCCAGGACCAGAACAAACAGAGUAGCAUCGUAUGUCUCUUAGAAAACAUCAUAGUAGAGCCUUUGGUAUGAAAAAACACCAUCAUAUACAUCGUAUAUUGUACAAAUAACAAGUCAAAGGAAAGAG
ensembl:lncRNA